rnacentral:rRNA from 1 species
UUGCCCGGGACGAACAGCUGAAUUCAUUCAGCCUGACGGUACCGGGUGAGGAAGCACCGGCUAACUCCGUGCCAGCAGCCGCGGUAAUACGGGGGGUGCGAGCGUUGUCCGGAAUCACUGGGCGUAAAGGGCGCGUAGGUGGCCUGAUAAGGGUGUGGUGAAAGUCCGGGGCUUAACCCCGGAUCUGCCGUGCCGACUGUUAGGCUAGAGUGCUGUAGGGGCAGGCGGAAUUCCGGGUGUAGCGGUGGAAUGCGUAGAGAUCCGGAGGAAGACCGGUGGCGAAGGCGGCCUGCUGGGCAGAUACUGACACUGAGGCGCGACAGCGUGGGGAGCAAACAGGAUUAGAUACCCUGGUAGUCCACGCCGUAAACGAUGGGUACUAGGUGCCUGGGGGAGCGACCCCUUGGGUGCCGGCGCUAACGCAGGAAGUACCCCGCCUGGGGAGUACGACCGCAAGGUUGAAACUCAAA